rnacentral:rRNA from 1 species
AUCGAACGCUAGCGGGAUGCUUUACACAUGCAAGUCGAACGGGUGGAGGACGGGCGAGUAAUAUAUCGGAACGUGCCCAGCAGCGGGGGAUAACUACUAGAAAGAGUGGCUAAUACCGCAUAAUAUUGGAGCGGCCGAUAUCGGAGUAGCUAGUUGGUGGGGAAAAGGCUGACCAAGGCAACGAUCCGUAGCAGGUUUGAGAGGAAGACCGUCCACACUGGGACUGAGACACUGCCCAGACUCCUACGGGAGGCAGCAGUGGGGAAUGUUGGGCAAUGGGGGAAACUCUGAUCCAGCCAUCCCGCGUGUAUGAGAAGGCUUUCGGGUCGUAAAGUUCUGUUGGCAGAGAAGCGGUAUCUGCAGAAUAAGCACCGGCUAACUACGUGCCAGCAGCCGCGGUAAUUC